AAUUCGGCAGUUUCAACUUCAAAUGAUGAUGUGAACGGGAUGUCAUUAUCUCCCCAAUGAUAUCUGAUAUCUUUACAAACCUCCCCUGGAUUCAGCUGGACACUAAUUUUGCCCUGACAUGUUCCCCCUCUCUGAUGAACCCCUUCCUCCAGCAAGAUCCAAUAUUAGCACCCCUUCAUAAAUAUACUGCAUGUGAGUCUCCCUCUCAGAAUCUGCUUCUCGGGGAUACUGUGACACAUUGUUGAUCCUUUCUUGGUGGACACAUAUUAAGGUAAAGCCACAACUGACUGUAUAUCAUUCAUUAGAAUAAGAAAGGAAAAGAUAGUCAAUAAUAUGUCUUUUAUUUUUUCCUUUUUAUUGGUUUUCUUCCCUCUUAAACUAGAAGUUUCAAGAAUGUCUAAUCAUUUUUUUCAUUAAAUCAUAUUUACAUAGCUGAAAGUUUUAAAUACAGAAACAUAAGGACGUGUAAAUUUAUUUUAAAAAUAAUAACUUCUAUCCUCAUGAUUCUCACUUUUAUACAUGCACCUUUAUUUAAUAUGUUUCUUUGUUUAAAGUAUCAGAGGCCUAUACAAACAUAGUUUCAAAAAAUCUCCAUGAUUUUUAUGUUACUCUGGAUAAGUCAUAGUUUUUCAUAAAUAACAUUGAAAAAUUUAGAGAUACCUAUUGUGUUAAGAUUUAUUGUUUCUCCCUUUAUGGGUUGUGGUGAAAUAAUAUGCAGGGGACAUAGUCCAAUUAUAGGUAAUAUCAGAGGAAAAUAUACUACUAAAUAUAGUAUAUGGUUUCUGGUUCAAGUCAUUAGCCAGUACUACCAUUUUUUAUUUCCUUCCAAGGUCAUAUUGAAUACUUACAUAAUAUUUCAAGAGAAUAAAAUAAUGAGAUCAUUGGGAAACCACAAAGUUCCAAGGCUGGACUCAAAGGAAGCUUAA
rnacentral:lncRNA from 1 species